rnacentral:rRNA from 1 species
UACGGAGGGUGCAAGCGUUUUUCGGAAUUACUGGGCGUAAAGCGCGUGUAGGCGGUUCGGUAAGUCGGUUGUGAAAGCCCCGAGCUCAACUCGGGAAUUGCGUCCGAAACUGCCGGACUGGAGUCCCGGAGAGGAAGGCAGAAUUCCCAAUGUAGGGGUGAAAUCCGUAGAUAUUGGGAGGAAUACCGGCUGCGAAGGCGGCCUUCUGGACGGUGACUGACGCUGAGACGCGAAAGCGUGGGGAGCAAACAGG